rnacentral:rRNA from 1 species
AGAGUUUGAUCCUGGCUCAGGACGAACGCUGGCGGCGUGCUUAACACAUGCAAGUCGAACGAUGAUGCCCAGCUUGCUAGGUGGAUUAGUGGCGAACGGGUGAGUAACACGUGAGUAACCUGCCCCUGACUCCGGGAUAAGCGUUGGAAACGACGUCUAAUACUGGAUACGACGGCCGAUCGCAUGGUCUGGUCGUGGAAAGAAUUUUGGUUGGGGAUGGACUCGCGGCCUAUCAGCUUGUUGGUGAGGGUAAUGGCUCACCAAGGCGACGACGGGUAGCCGGCCUGAGAGGGUGACCGGCCACACUGGGACUGAGACACGGCCCAGACUCCUACGGGAGGCAGCAGUGGGGAAUAUUGCACAAUGGGCGAAAGCCUGAUGCAGCAACGCCGCGUGAGGGACGAAGGCCUUCGGGUUGUAAACCUCUUUUAGUAGGGAAGAAGCGAAAGUGACGGUACCUGCAGAAAAAGCACCGGCUAACUACGUG